GACGAACCGUGCGAACGUUUAUUCGGAAUCACUGGGCUUAAAGCGCGUGUAGGCGGGCCGCCGCGUCGGCUGCUGAAAUCCCCCGGCUCAACCGGGGAACGGGCACCGAUACGGGCGGCCUCGAGGGGGGUAGGGGGACCUGGAACUUCCGGUGGAGCGGUGAAAUGCGUAGAGAUUGGAAAGAACACCGAUGGCGAAGGCACUUUACUGGGCUAUUACUAACACUCAGAGACGAAAGCUAGGGUAGCAAAUGGG
rnacentral:rRNA from 1 species